rnacentral:pre_miRNA from 1 species
CAACUACUCCCUCCGUCCGAAAAUACUUGUCAUCAAAAUGGACAAAAAGGAAUGUAUCUAGAACUAAAAUACAUCUAGAUACAUCCCCUUUUAUUCAUUUUGAUGACAAGUAUUUCCGGACGGAGGGAGUACUCA